CAUGAGCUGAUUACAUCCAUUUUGCACGACAAUUUCAUCUAAUUGUGAUCUCAGCUUGCUAAACCAAGUUGAAUUGGGCCCAUCCAUGCAUGGAUGCCCUUUCCAUCCAUGCACACACUUUGCUCAUGCUUGCAGCUCCCUUCAUCUAUAAAUACAAUGCCUUGGCCUCUCAUUUCUUCAACCUGAAGGCGCCCCAAUUGCUGUUGAAC
rnacentral:lncRNA from 1 species